AUACGUAGGGUGCAAGCGUUAAUCGGAAUUACUGGGCGUAAAGCGUGCGCAGGCGGCUUUGUAAGACAGAGGUGAAAUCCCCGGGCUCAACCUGGGAACUGCCUUUGUGACUGCAAGGCUAGAGUACGGCAGAGGGGGAUGGCAUUCCGCGUGUAGCAGUGAAAUGCGUAGAUAUGCGGAGGAACACCGAUGGCGAAGGCAAUCCCCUGGGCCUGUACUGACGCUCAUGCACGAAAGCGUGGGGAGCAAACAGGAUUAGAUACCCUGGUAGUCCACGCCCUAAACGAUGUCAACUGGUUGUUGGGUCUUCAUUGACUCAGUAACGAAGCUAACGCGUGAAGUUGACCGCCUGGGGAGUACGGCCGCAAGGUCGAAACUCAAAGGAAUUGACGGGG
rnacentral:rRNA from 1 species